rnacentral:lncRNA from 1 species
AACCAUCAUCAUAUCAGCAUCGUCAUCCUCCUCCUCCGGACAAGCCUUACAAUGCCCAGAAGAUAAAAGCUCUUAGGAAACAAGAAUCUUUCUUUCUUAAUGGUAGAGCUGUGAGAGCUGACCCAGAACCUGAACUGAAUGCCCUGGUAAACAUCGGACUGACAUCUCCUUUCAAACAUUCAUUGAGGAUCUACUCUGUGAGAAGAAGCAAUACCAUGUUAUCUCAUUCUAGUUCCAGUUCUAGUUGACUUGAUUGUCAAACGAC